UGCGGAAGGAUCAUUACAGAGUUCAUGCCCUUCGGGGUAGACCUCCCACCCUUGUGUAUUUAUACCAUGUUGCUUUGGCGGGCCGCCGCAAGGCUACCGGCUCCGGCUGGUACGUGCCCGCCAGAGGACCCAAACCCUGAAAUUAGUGUCGUCCGAGUACUAUAUAAUAGUUAAAACUUUCAACAACGGAUCUCUUGGUUCUGGCAUCGAUGAAGAACGCAGCGAAAUGCGAUAAGUAAUGUGAAUUGCAGAAUUCAGUGAAUCAUCGAAUCUUUGAACGCACAUUGCGCCCCUUGGCAUUCCGGGGGGCAUGCCUGUUCGAGCGUCAUUUCAACCCUCACGCCUGGCGUGGUAUUGGGCCUUUCGCGGGGUUUUUGGACCCCGCGGGCCUCAAAGCAAGUGGCGGUGCCGUCGGGCCCUGAGCGUAGUAAUACUCCUCGCUACGGGACCCCGGUGGUGACCUGCCAGCAACCCCAAC
rnacentral:sRNA from 1 species